rnacentral:rRNA from 1 species
UGGUGGAGUGAUUUGUCUGGUUUAUUCCGAUAACGAACGAGACUCUGUCCUGCUAACUAGGUCCUGUUUUCUCGGAACGCCGGUGGGCGUGUGGGGGCGGCCGUUCGCGCGGCUCUUCCCGCGCUCUCUCGGCUUCCAUCCGUGAACAGGGAGACGUCUUCUUAGGAGGGACGUGGCGUAUUUGUUAGUCGCACGAGAUAGAGCAAAUAACGA